UACGUAGGGCGCGAGCGUUGUCCGGAAUCAUUGGGCGUAAAGAGCUCGUAGGCGGCCUGUCGCGUCUGCUGUGAAAUCCCGGGGCUCAACCCCGGGCGUGCAGUGGAUACGGGCUGGCUGGAGGCAGGCAGGGGAGAACGGAAUUCCCGGUGUAGCGGUGAAAUGCGCAGAUAUCGGGAGGAACACCGGUGGCGAAGGCGGUUCUCUGGGCCUGUACUGACGCUGAGGAGCGAAAGCAUGGGGAGCGAACAGG
rnacentral:rRNA from 1 species